AUUCGGACAGGCCUUGAUGGCUUCCUAACCAUGAAGGCAGCAUAGCUCAGGAUUCAGUCACAGCCUGGGUGUACACUGUCAUCGAGAAAGUGACAACCACUGAUCCCUAGAAAAUCAGUGUAAUCUCUCAAGUAAACUUGUUUGUUUUGUGCUAAAUGUUAUUUUGACAGCCAUAGCUAAGGGCUCUUACUCGCUUUAUUCCCGGGACAUAUCUUUCCGACUUGGGACCACCGCUUCUUAGGCACUUCUCUCAUUCAGAACAGUGAAGUCAAUGGAUCCUUACAUCCCAGCUUGACAAGUUAGGAGGAUACAAGCUAAUCCCCUUAAUCUGUCUAUUCUCCCGUGCAGUGCCAAAGGGGGAGAGGGAAAAUGUGCCUUUCAUUAACUGCUGGUGGGAUUCCUUUAGGACAGAUGCUGGAGGUCCACAUGAAAGGCAUGUAUUCUUCGCUUCCAGCACACAGGUCCUGGGGCUUCUCCCACAGCAGAGGCUGAGAGGUGGGGACACGCCAUUGGCCUGGGCGACCACUCCACCCCUUUACCCUCUGUCAACCUCUUUAUAAUUCAAACACUAAUGCUUUUAAAAAGUGUUUGACAGAUGGAUCAGAUUCCUUUGCUUACUGAGGAUAGAUGUAGCAGAUCAAUGAGACAAAUGAUGAGGACAAUGUGAGAUAUGCUGCCUGUUCUUUUCAUUUGUAUGCGGCCAUGCAACCUGUUUUUUUUUCUGUUACAUUUAAUAAGAUGAAUGUCUUUUGUACAGUUGCUAUUCUUUGAUACACUUUUGCAGUGGAUACAUAUAAACCUAUGGAAAAUCAGUGUUUAUAUAGAUAUAUAGCCUAUUACCAU